rnacentral:rRNA from 1 species
CCGCUCUGCUAAAGAGAGGAAGGAAUGGGCAACGGUAGGUCAGCAUGCCCCGAAUUAUCUGGGCUACACGCGGGCUACAAUGGGUGGGACAAUGGGUAUCGACACCGAAAGGUGAAGGCAAUCUCCUAAACCCAUCCGUAGUUCGGAUUGUGGGCUGCAACUCGCCCACAUGAAGCUGGAAUCUGUAGUAAUCGUGUCUCAAAAUGGCACGGUGAAUAUGUCCCUGCUCCUU